rnacentral:rRNA from 1 species
GAAUUGUAAUUUGCAGAGGAUGCUUUGGUAUUUGACAUCUGUCAAAAGUCCUUUGGAACAGGGCGUCACGGAGGGUGAAAAUCCCGUAUUCGUCAGAUUGAUCAAUUCCAUGUAAAGCUCCUUCGAAGAGUCGAGUUGUUUGGGAAUGCAGCUCUAAAAGGGAGGUAAAUUUCUUCCAAAGCUAAAUAUAGGCUAGAGACCGAUAGCGCACAAGUAGAGUGAUCGAAAGAUGAAAAGCACUUUGAAAAGAGAGUUAAACAGCACGUGAAAUUGUUGAAAGGGAAGCCUAUGCAGCCAGAUAUGAUUACAAGGUUCAGCCUUAUGGUGUAUUCCUUGAUAAUCAAGCUAACACCAGUUUGUUUGACAGUUGGAUAAAAGUUCUGGGAAUGUAGCUCUUCGGAGUGUUAUAGCCUGAUUCAAAAUGCAAUUCGUCCAGACUGAGGUCCGCUUAUAGGAUGU